rnacentral:rRNA from 1 species
UAGGGAAUCUUCCGCAAUGGACGAAAGUCUGACGGAGCAACGCCGCGUGAGUGAAGAAGGUUUUCGGAUCGUAAAACUCUGUUGUAAGGGAAGAACAAGUACGUUAGUAACUGAACGUACCUUGACGGUACCUUACCAGAAAGCCACGGCUAACUACGUGCCAGCAGCCGCGGUAAUACGUAGGUGGCAAGCGUUAUCCGGAAUUAUUGGGCGUAAAGCGCGCGUAGGCGGUUUCUUAAGUCUGAUGUGAAAGCCCACGGCUCAACCGUGGAGGGUCAUUGGAAACUGGGAAACUUGAGUGCAGAAGAGGAGAGUGGAAUUCCAUGUGUAGCGGUGAAAUGCGCAGAGAUAUGGAGGAACACCAGUGGCGAAGGCGGCUCUCUGGUCUGUAACUGACGCUGAUGUGCGAAAGCGUGGGGUAGCAAACAGGAUUAGAUACCC